rnacentral:rRNA from 1 species
UAGGGAAUCUUCCACAAUGGACGCAAGUCUGAUGGAGCAACGCCGCGUGAGUGAAGAAGGUUUUCGGACCGUAAAGCUCUGUUGUUGGUGAAGAAGGAUAGAGGUAGUAACUGGCCUUUAUUUGACGGUAAUCAACCAGAAAGUCACGGCUAACUACGUGCCAGCAGCCGCGGUAAUACGUAGGUGGCAAGCGUUGUCCGGAUUUAUUGGGCGUAAAGCGAGCGCAGGCGGAAGAAUAAGUCUGAUGUGAAAGCCCUCGGCUUAACCGAGGAAUUGCAUCGGAAACUGUUUUCUUGAGUGCAGAAGAGGAGAGUAGAACUCCAUGUGUAGCGGUGGAAUGCGUAGAUAUAUGGAAGAAUACCAGUGGCGAAGGCGGCUCUCUGGUCUGCAACUGACGCUGAGGCUCGAAAGCAUGGGUAGCGAACAGGAUUAGAUACCCUGGUAGUCCAUGCCGUAAACGAUGAGUGCUAAGUGUUGGGAGGCUUCCGCCUCUCAGUGCUGCAGCUAACGCAUUAAGCACUCCGCCUGGGGGAGUACGACCGCAAGGUUGAAACUCUA